CUCUGUUCUUCUUCCAUCUAAAAAAAGCACUCUGCUUCUCGUGUCGCCUCUCUCGCGGGGACUUGCUUUGGCGAAACGGGACCGGAUAGGGCCAGAUGCGUUCGGGCGUAGGGGGGAACCCGCGGCGGGCGUCCGUUCUCCAGUCCGUCAGAUGGAGACGCCUCGUCGCGGCCGCGCUCAGCAUCAGGGCGACCCCGGCUCUGCGCGCGCACAGGAGAUGGUGUGCAGAGUUUGUUUGAGCCCUUGCUACCGCGAGAGCAGGGCAAGCGGGAUGAGCAUGUUUGUCUGGAAGGAGUUCAAAAACGCAGGGGUUGUGCCAUGCAACAAAAGAGUUCGUUUCAACGACCUGAGAGGGGAUACACUGAAGUUUAAGGCAAACAAAUGGACAUACACCGUGAAGUGUCACAAGGGGCCCAGAAAGAGCACAAUGUAUGGUAGUGGAUAGAGGAAAUUUGUUGCAGACAACAAGUUGGGGAAGGGCCAGCUGGUUCUCUUCUACUUGGACCAGCCUUCCCCAAGGGCAGUUAUCUGUGUGAUUCAAUUCGGGGAUGGUGCCGAAGGUGAAGGAUAUGAGGGUGAGAAUGACUACAUGGAAGUCUCAGAUGAAGAAGACGAGGAUAGGCAAGCUGACAACAGUGAUGACGGUGAUGAUAUUGUUCGCGCUAGGGGGGCUUGAGUUGACUCAGGAAGAGGAGUCAGAUCUAGAUGGGCUGCUUCCGCUCAACAACGGGUUCAUAGGGUUGGCAUUUGUGCACCGCCUCAUGAGGACUCAUGUUCUUUUGGGAAGCAUGAAUUACAAGGGCAUGAUAGUAGAGCGGCAGGUCAUUCAUGAAGCAGGGAACUUAAAGAGGGCACAAGAAAUCUUUUUUUUCAAGAAAAGCUCGUACAUGUGGUGCAAAUGCACUUGGAGAUGGUUGGAAUGCCAAAUUCAUCGCAGGCUGUUGUUGCUGCACAUACUGGACACCAAGGUACGGCUACCAUGGAAACACAAAAUCAUGCUUAUGUCAGUUUCUGGGAUGGUGACACAGCUCAAACAUAUGUAUUUACAAUCUAAGGGAAUUUUUGUUUUCGCAUAUUUUAUCUUACUUGGACUGGGGUCACCAAAUUAUGUGGAGCUGGAGCAUGACUGCUUGGAAAUCUCUAUGCCAAAGUAUUCACCGGCUGCUACACGAAAUGCAGAAGACAGGUAAAGCUGGUGUUCAGAGCAGAAGGUCUUGCCAUUGCGAAUGUCUGGCUCUGAUAAAGACUUUUACAAGCAGAGGACAAUGUUUGAUAAUCCUCUGUAAAGAAAUAUAUUAUUUCUUUACAAAGGGAGUACAUUAAGCAUAGAGAGAGUCAUAAUCAUUCGCUUUCACUGAAUUUGGCGAGAUAAUCCACAGUUAGAGAAGCAGGAGAGAGUUUGAGGCAAGUAACCCGUGGUAGUAAUCAUACUAGUGGAGGUGCUGAUGCUGGCUCUGGGAGGGGUACGAGGGGGCAGAAAAAGAGUUGCUGUGUCAACAAUGCAGUGACAGGGGAUGGGACACCUUGCGAUGUGCCUGAAGCCUUGAUGCAAUAUGACCGCAAUGAUGUUGCUAGACAAUCAGGUUAUCAUCUGUCAUUUCGCUUUGUUCUAAAAAUUGAGUUAUCUUUGCAUUCAGUUAACAUAGUUCUUUGCCGACAUCCAUGAGCAUGAGGAUGAAGUGGGUAGGGGAUUGUGCGUGGUGUCAGGCUGGAUGAGGAGUAACCUAAGGUUGCAGAUAGGCAUGGUCAGGACAUCGUGAAGGGUGAGAUGGGUGAUAAGUUCUGAGGAAAAGCUGGUUUGAAGGAUGAAGAGCCAAACGCAAGAGACAUGCUACUUUCUAUGACAGGAUGUUGUCAUACACUUCCAGAGAACUUAGCAAGAGAAGACUUCGUGAGGGAGUUCGGACCAAACGGGCUGUUGACAGUGGAUUCGUGUGUCGCGGCUGAUCAUUACAAGGAAGGUCGGAUGUUUGAUAGUUGACAGAUCAGGUGGCACCACGUCUUUGACUUGCGGUUUGUGAUGAUGCUGCCGGUGCCAAUGUACGAGGUCCAUAGUGUAUGAGGUGAUUUUGAUGAGGGGGGACAGGGUUGAGCUGCCAGAUUUCAUGCUUGAAGUGCUCUUUCUGAGGUAUGAGUUAUACGGAUGUAGUAUUUUAGAUCCGGUGUCUGCGAGAUUGAUUAUGAAACACGUUGUGUACAUUAGACAUUGGAGGGGAAUGUUAGCUACCAUCUCAUUUUGUGGUGUGGUAGUGAUUCUAAGCCCAGUGUUUGCCACAUUGAGCUUAACCUGUAUUUUGAGCAAGACAUGGCAAGCUAGAUUACAUCCUAGUCAGCUGGCGUGGAAGUGCUUGUGAUCACUCUGUGCUUAGCUAUACUAUAUUUGCAUGUAAGGAUUGAUAUGCCACAUGUUGAAGGUGGUAACUGAACCAGCAGAUGAUGAAUCGUUGGUUUUUAAGAUUUGCGAGUGCUCUGUAAAGAUUGUAGUGCAGAACUCUUUAAGGUGUUCAUUUUGCAAUUAAUGCUGUUCAGAACCA